GGGGGUGUAGCUCAGUAGUGUGGAGUGCUUGCCUAGCAUGCACAAGGCCUUGGGUUCAACCCCCAGUAUCACUA
rnacentral:tRNA from 1 species